GUGAAUCAUCGAAUCUUUGAACGCAAAUUGCACUCUCCUCGGAGAGUAUGCCUGUUUGAGGGCCAGCCUAUAAAAAUCGCCAUCGUUGCUGUUGCGCGGGGGCGUUCGUCGGAAAUUGGGGCAUCUUAAAUCCUUUUGAUUUAAUCGACUUAAGAUUUUCGUUUGGUUCCAUGAACGUUUCUAAGAUCUAUUUCUUUACACGUUUAAGGUAUCGAUUUUUACUAGACGUGACCAUCAUAUCGGAUCGCGGCCAGAAUAUUUGAUUAACUGAACUCAGACAGGUAAGAGUAG
rnacentral:misc_RNA from 1 species